rnacentral:misc_RNA from 1 species
GAAAGACAAAGAGAAGAAGAAUAUGAAGAUUGAAGAGGUGCAAUCAACAAUCAAGAAUCAGAGAAUUGCAACUCAUACUCACAUUAAAGGCCUUGGUCUUGAGCCAAAUGGGAGGCCACUUCCAUUGGCAGCUGGGUUUGUAGGUCAGGCAGCAGCCAGAGAAGCUGCGGGGCUUGUGGUGGAUAUGAUACGCGAAAAGAAAAUGGCUGGGCGGGCUUUACUGCUAGCUGGUCCGCCUGGUACGGGGAAGACAGCUCUUGCUCUUGGUAUAUCACAAGACCUUGGAAGCAAGGUUCCAUUUUGUCCAAUGGUUGGGUCCGAAGUGUAUUCAUCAGAAGUGAAGAAAACUGAGGUCUUAAUGGAAAACUUCCGGCGAGCUAUUGGUCUCCGUAUGAAGGAAAAUAAGGAAGUUUAUGAAGGAGAGGUGACUGAACUAUCUCCAGAAGAGGGUGAGAGUGUGACAGGUGGAUAUGGUAAAAGCAUUAGCCAUGUUAUAAUUGGGUUAAAAACUGUCAAAGGUACCAAACAGUUGAAGCUUGACCCCACGAUAUAUGAUGCCAUAAUUAAAGAGAAGGUAGCUGUUG